rnacentral:rRNA from 1 species
UUUAAGAGUUUGAUCCUGGCUCAGGAUGAACGCUGGCGGUAUGCCUAACACAUGCAAGUUGAACGCGAAUCUUUAUAGAUUUGAGUAGCGAACGGGUGAGUAUAACGUGAGAACCUACCUCUAGGAGGGGUAUAAAA